AUUGAACGCUGGCGGCAUGCCUUACACAUGCAAGUCGAACGGCAGCACGGUUGCUUGCCCCUGUUGGCGAGUGGCGAACGGGUGAGUAAUACAUCGGAACAUGUCCUGUAGUGGGGGAUAGCCCGCCGAAAGCCGGAUUAAUACCGCAUUCGAUCUACGGAUGACAGCGGGGGACCUUCGGGCCUCGCGCUGUCGGGCUGGCCGAUGGCUGAUUAGCUAGUUGGUGGGGUAAAGGCCUACCAAGGCGACGAUCAGUAGCUGGUCUGAGAGGACGACCAGCCACACUGGGACUGAGACACGGCCCAGACUCCUACGGGAGGCAGCAGUGGGGAAUGUUGGACAAUGGGCGAAAGCCUGAUCCAGCAAUGCCGCGUGUGUGAAGAAGGCCUUCGGGUUGUAAAGCACUUUUGUCCGGAAAGAAAUCCUUGGCCCUAAUACGGUCGGGGGAUGACGGUACCGGAAGAAUAAGCACCGGCUAACUACGUG
rnacentral:rRNA from 1 species